UACAGAGGUCCCGAGCGUUGUUCGGAUUCACUGGGCGUAAAGGGUGCGUAGGCGGCCUUUUUAAGUCAGUGGUGAAAGCCCAUAGCUCAACUAUGGAACUGCCAUUGAUACUGAAAGGCUUGAGUACAGACGAGGUUGGCGGAAUGGAUGGUGUAGCGGUGAAAUGCAUAGAUACCAUCCAGAACUCCGAUUGCGUAGGCAGCUAACUAGGCUGUAACUGACGCUGAGGCACGAAAGCGUGGGGAGCAAACAGG
rnacentral:rRNA from 1 species